rnacentral:lncRNA from 1 species
CAGUUUAUGUAUUGAAGAACCUGGGCCGUUUGACCCACGGAGUGGUUCUCAAUCUGGAUUUGGCUGAUUGGGCACUCAUGUUGCAGGUUAACAUGCUCCUCGGUUUUCUGACCUCCUAGAAGUUGGCAGCUGGAUCCAGAAGCUUCAACAGCCUCAGGUUCAGCCUCCUGGGCUGGCGGAUUGUAGGCCAAAGCUUGAUUUGGGUAUCAGCAAGUUAAAACUCAGGCACAUCCAUCUUUCCUGAUCCAAGUAAAUUCUAGUGGGCAAGAGGAAGAGAAGAGAAACUACAACAUCAUUAUCUUACUGCUGGAGGCAGCAGAUUACGGACCCCUGACUGUGAUGUGUCAAAUGCACUGUGUGACAACCAAGACCCUACACAUCUGGGGGGCACUUCAGGAUUCCUCCAGGCGGCAGUUGCUGGCCUAGACUCACUUCUUCAGGAGGGAGGUUCGCCCUGGAAAAGCUGAUUUGCAUUUCUGCUGGGAUCGAUGCCGUGGAGACUGAAUACAUUGAGGUCUCCAGGUGAAAGAAGAAAGCUUAACCUGGCUUCUGAAUUCCAAGAGCACACGGCAAAGUGGGUCUAAAUCAACGUCUGGUUAUGAAGGGCCUAGAGCCAGAUAGGAGCUUCUUACAGCUUUUGGCAGUUUCUGGUGGAGGCCAGCUCUCCUUGUCAUCUACCUUGGCCUGAGAAGCCUGUUCCCCUCUGCAGAGGAUGAGCUCAGGGCUACACCUUUCCUUCCAGGCUCUCAUGGUGUGGUCCAGGCUCCAUUUCUUUCUCUUUGAACCUCACUUCAACAUGAUUAGAGUGACUGAAGGUAAAGAAAUAGGAACUGUUUUACCGUAAAUAAAUUAGUCCCUGCUACA